rnacentral:rRNA from 2 species
UUUUAUCAUCAGACGAACGCUGGCGGCGUGCCUAAUACAUGCAAGUCGAGCGGACAGAUGGGAGCUUGCUCCCUGAUGUUAGCGGCGGACGGGUGAGUAACACGUGGGUAACCUGCCUGUAAGACUGGGAUAACUCCGGGAAACCGGGGCUAAUACCGGAUGGUUGUUUGAACCGCAUGGUUCAGACAUAAAAGGUGGCUUCGGCUACCACUUACAGAUGGACCCGCGGCGCAUUAGCUAGUUGGUGAGGUAACGGCUCACCAAGGCGACGAUGCGUAGCCGACCUGAGAGGGUGAUCGGCCACACUGGGACUGAGACACGGCCCAGACUCCUACGGGAGGCAGCAGUAGGGAAUCUUCCGCAAUGGACGAAAGUCUGACGGAGCAACGCCGCGUGAGUGAUGAAGGUUUUCGGAUCGUAAAGCUCUGUUGUUAGGGAAGAACAAGUGCCGUUCAAAUAGGGCGGCACCUUGACGGUACCUAACCAGAAAGCCACGGCUAACUACGUGCCAGCAGCCGCGGUAAUACGUAGGUGGCAAGCGUUGUCCGGAAUUAUUGGGCGUAAAGGGCUCGCAGGCGGUUUCUUAAGUCUGAUGUGAAAGCCCCCGGCUCAACCGGGGAGGGUCAUUGGAAACUGGGGAACUUGAGUGCAGAAGAGGAGAGUGGAAUUCCACGUGUAGCGGUGAAAUGCGUAGAGAUGUGGAGGAACACCAGUGGCGAAGGCGACUCUCUGGUCUGUAACUGACGCUGAGGAGCGAAAGCGUGGGGAGCGAACAGGAUUAGAUACCCUGGUAGUCCACGCCGUAAACGAUGAGUGCUAAGUGUUAGGGGGUUUCCGCCCCUUAGUGCUGCAGCUAACGCAUUAAGCACUCCGCCUGGGGAGUACGGUCGCAAGACUGAAACUCAAAGGAAUUGACGGGGGCCCGCACAAGCGGUGGAGCAUGUGGUUUAAUUCGAAGCAACGCGAAGAACCUUACCAGGUCUUGACAUCCUCUGACAAUCCUAGAGAUAGGACGUCCCCUUCGGGGGCAGAGUGACAGGUGGUGCAUGGUUGUCGUCAGCUCGUGUCGUGAGAUGUUGGGUUAAGUCCCGCAACGAGCGCAACCCUUGAUCUUAGUUGCCAGCAUUCAGUUGGGCACUCUAAGGUGACUGCCGGUGACAAACCGGAGGAAGGUGGGGAUGACGUCAAAUCAUCAUGCCCCUUAUGACCUGGGCUACACACGUGCUACAAUGGACAGAACAAAGGGCAGCGAAACCGCGAGGUUAAGCCAAUCCCACAAAUCUGUUCUCAGUUCGGAUCGCAGUCUGCAACUCGACUGCGUGAAGCUGGAAUCGCUAGUAAUCGCGGAUCAGCAUGCCGCGGGUG